CGUUGUUGCAAGUGACAGGUAGCAAGCAAGGAGGCCUGAGAAGACAAACUCAAAAAGAUGGUUUGAGGGUAGAAAGCUGCCUUGGAAUUUCUGCAGAUUUGAUCUUUGUCUAAAUGAUUUCUGAUCUACUGAAAUUAGAACAUAUGCCAUUUUGACACAUUUUCCCUCCAGCCCAGAGGAAAUGAAUCAGCUAUGGUGUUUGUCUCUCUGCCUCACUACAGCUGGAGGUCACAUGAGACAUUUGUGCUUAUUUAUUUCCUCCAAAGGAGGAUUUCUGAUUAGUUUUUUCACCUUCUAACCUUCCGUCUAUGUCCAAAUCCAAGGCAUGUGGUGCAAUGGGACUCGUAGGAUGUAAAUAAUUGCUGAGAUUGAUAACAUUACUAUUAAAGGAAUAUGCUGCUCAAAUUCCUUUGAGGAACGAAUCCUCAGCAGUUCCUCACUGAAGAAGGAUGGCAGAUGAAGCUUUCCCUGAGAGAAACUGUUGUGGAAGAGAGUAUCAUCGAAAAGCUUCUUGCGUCAGUGGAAUUGAUGUCAGAAUGAUGUUUGCGUUGCUUUUAAGUAUUUAAGUUUUGGAUUCUUCUCCAUAUUUUAUUGAUUUUCCUCUUUGUGUUUCUCAUUAUUUCCCUUUUUGCUGUGUUUCAUAGUCCAUGUCUUCCUCUCCUUUUCAGUUCUGGUCACUCCCUCUUUAAUUUUGGCAGUCACAUUUCCCUGUGUGUCUUUUUUUACUUCCUGUUUUUUGUCCUUUUCCCUUCGUUAUACCCAAUUUCUCCACUUUGAUUAGCUUCGCCUAUAUUGAUGUAGUCCAUUCCUGCUUUUUCUUUCUCUCCCUGGUGUUCAGUGACUUUUAAUUUAUUUUUUGGAUUUUUUUGUGGAUAUUUUAAUUUUUGACUAUUAAAAAAAUAAGAGCUUGUUUUUUUUGUUUGUUUGUUUAGACAUACCUGCAUCUUGUGUCCUGCAUUUGAUACAUUUACAACAUAACAAUGAUUGAUUGGUGGUGGUGGGUGAUUGAACCUUACUAGUCCUUGGUUGGGUCUUUUGCUUUCAGAACUGUCUGAGUUCAUGGCACAGAUUUGGUCACAGAGUGUCAUGAUAACAUCACAUAAUUUUUUUGUUUUUGUUUUUUACAUGAAAAUGGGCUUCAUUUGUAACAAAUAAAUAUGUAAAAAUACCCCAAAAAUUCUGGUGAAAGUCUGUAAAUUCACGAAAAAUGUCAUUUUAUUAUUAUUCUUAUUUAUUUUUUUAUUGUGGACCCAUUGUAAAAAAACUAAAAAACUUGGAUGUUUAAAAAACUUGAACUUUAAUGUCAUUUAAUUGUUCUGUUAAUUGCAUUACUAUUAUUUAAUUGCUUUGGUGUAGCAUGAAUGGACAUGUGGAAAGUCUUUAUUAUGGGAAAAGCUGUAAAAUGUAUGAAAAUUAAAUUAAAAGUCCAAAAUCAAUGUUCUUCUUUGUAUUUUCCAAAGUCAAUCAGUGGACCGGAU
ensembl:lncRNA